AUCAAUGGCUGCAUUCGAGACAUCGUGAGCAAGAGAGGGGCUAUAAGAACCAAAAGAAGGUGAAUUGCUGUUUCUUGCAGCUCCAACAGCUUUGCAUUUUGCAGUCUCUUCCCCUGCUAUAGAAAUGGCCUCCUUUAGCUGCUUGGAUGUUCUCUCCAGCUCAAUUUCUUGAAGUUGUGCUUUACAGGGUACACUAGCUACAAAGAUGCACCAGAGAGCCACAAGGUUUCAAAUGAAGGGCCAUAGCUCCUGUACUUCGCACCUAUGGGCAAUGGCUAACACCCGGAUUAGAAUGAAAUUUUAUGGGGAUAGGUAUUUGGCAAAUCUUACUUGGCAGCUCCUGCAUGACUGAUUUAUGUGUUGUUUUCACUCGGGAGUUCUGCAUAUUCAUCUAUUGAAAGGCUUUCUCUUUUGGAUUUUAAAAGCAUCCUACUUUUUCAUGAGCCUCCAAGAUCUUUGUAAAUCCCUUACCUAUGUUCUUAUCAUAUGCAUAUGCAUGCAGAGGUAUGUACAUGUACACAUGUAAGUUUUUUAU